rnacentral:lncRNA from 1 species
UUACAGCUGGUACAAACUAAGAUAGGAUUUAGAAUGGUCUCGGACCGUGUGCACACAUCACAAGUUCUGGCAUGGUCUUUCAAAAUAUCUGAACUUAGCUGGACAAGAUCAGAGUUCGUUUCUGGUAAUAUGCGCAUAGCAGUCGGCCUUGAAAGCGUCUCCUUGACCCGAGGAUUCUGUUGAGAAGAAAGCCUAAGUCUUUCGUUGGUAGCAUUCAUCUUCAAAACAUCCAGCACAGAGGGGAAAAACAAACACAUUCAGUAUGAUGAAAACUACGACUGAAAUUAUGAAAUAGUUGUUAAUACUGCUUAAGUGACUCAUAAGUCCUAACAUGAAUAGAUUUACAACCUCCUGAUGCACGGAUUCUUCUAUAUUAUCUUUCCUCAAUGAUGAAAUCCUAGACGAUGCAGCAGCUGCAGCAGUUGCAGCAGCCAGUACAGUCUGUGCCUCCUUAUGUCGUUUUUCUUUCCUUCCUUGCUUUUUGGCUUCCCUAAGCUCAUAAAGAUACUGGCUAACUAACACAGCAUCCCAUUCUCGUUGCCUAGCAGCAUCAGUCUCCUGUUGGAGACUAUUCACAACCUUAACAAUUAAAUUAUCUGCAAAGAAAUUAAAUGAGCAUCAGUUAAUUCAACAACAAUAUCCAUGAGUUCUAGCGCAUGUAAAAGCACAACAAUAGGUGCAAGUUAUACUCUGUGGUCCUCAGACAACACUCAC